rnacentral:tRNA from 1 species
AGAAGAUUAGUUAAUUAUAAUAAUGGGCUGUCAAAUCAUAGUAAUUGGUUGGAAUCCAAUAUCUUCUA